GGUCAAGCGAAUAAGUGCAUGUGGUGGAUGCCUUGGCGAUCACAGGCGAUGAAGGACGUAGUAGCUUGCGAAAAGCUGCGGGGAGCUGGCAAACGAGCUUUGAUCCGCAGAUGUCCGAAUGGGGAAACCCGGCCCGUAUGGGUCAUCCCUUGCUGAAUACAUAGGCAAGGGAGGCGAACGCAGUGAACUGAAACAUCUAAGUAGCUGCAGGAAAAGAAAUCAACCGAGAUUCCCAAAGUAGUGGCGAGCGAAAUGGGAACAGCCUUGUACUCUUUAGCAGUAUUGUUAGCGGAACGGAAUGGAAAGUCCGGCCAUAGUGGGUGAUAGCCCCGUACGCGAAAACAGUAUUGUGGAACUAGGUGUACGACAAGUAGGGCGGGACACGUGAAAUCCUGUCUGAAGAUGGGGGGACCAUCCUCCAAGGCUAAAUACUCGUGAUCGACCGAUAGUGAACCAGUACCGUGAGGGAAAGGCGAAAAGAACCCCGGGAGGGGAGUGAAAUAGAUCCUGAAACCGCAUGCAUACAAACAGUCGGAGCCUGGAAACGGGUGACGGCGUACCUUUUGUAUAAUGGGUCAGCGACUUACAUUCAGUGGCAAGCUUAACCGAUUAGGGAAGGCGUAGCGAAAGCGAGUCCGAAUAGGGCGUUCAGUCGCUGGGUGUAGACCCGAAACCAAGUGAUCUAUCCAUGGCCAGGUUGAAGGUGCGGUAACACGUACUGGAGGACCGAACCCACUAACGUUGAAAAGUUAGGGGAUGAGCUGUGGAUAGGGGUGAAAGGCUAAACAAACUUGGAAAUAGCUGGUUCUCUCCGAAAACUAUUUAGGUAGUGCCUCGUGUCUCACCUUCGGGGGUAGAGCACUGUCAUGGUUGGGGGGUCUAUUGCUGAUUACCCCGCCAUAGCAAACUCCGAAUACCGAAGAGUGCAAUCACGGGAGACAGACAUCGGGUGCUAACGUCCGGUGUCAAGAGGGAAACAACCCAGACCGCCAGCUAAGGUCCCUAAGAUUGGCUAAGUGGGAAACGAAGUGGGAAGGCUAAAACAGUCAGGAGGUUGGCUUAGAAGCAGCCACCCUUUAAAGAAAGCGUAAUAGCUCACUGAUCGAGUCGUCCUGCGCGGAAGAUGUAACGGGGCUAAGCCAGUCACCGAAGCUGCGGAUGCACGUAAGUGCAUGGUAGGAGAGCGUUCUGUAAGCCUGUGAAGGUGUCUUGUAAAGGAUGCUGGAGGUAUCAGAAGUGCGAAUGCUGACAUGAGUAGCGAUAAAGGGGGUGAAAGGCCCCCUCGCCGUAAGCCCAAGGUUUCCUACGCAACGUUCAUCGGCGUAGGGUGAGUCGGCCCCUAAGGCGAGGCAGAGAUGCGUAGCUGAUGGGAAGCAGGUUAAUAUUCCUGCACCGUCGUAUGAUGCGAUGGGGGGACGGAUCGCGGAAGGUUGUCCGGGUGUUGGAAGUCCCGGUCCCUACAUUGGAGAUGGCACUUAGGCAAAUCCGGGUGCGUGAUUCAAGGGUGUGGGGCGAGCGACGUUAGGUCGCGAAGCAAUUGGAAGUGGUUCCAAGAAAAGCCUCUAAGCUUCAGUCAUACGAGACCGUACCGCAAACCGACACAGGUGGGCGAGAUGAGUAUUCUAAGGCGCUUGAGAGAACUCGGGAGAAGGAACUCGGCAAAUUGGUACCGUAACUUCGGGAUAAGGUACGCCCUUGUAGUUUGACUGGCUCGCGCCAGAAGGAUGAAGGGGUUGCAAUAAAAUGGUGGCUGCGACUGUUUAAUAAAAACACAGCACUCUGCAAACACGAAAGUGGACGUAUAGGGUGUGACGCCUGCCCGGUGCCGGAAGAUUAAAUGAUGGGGUGCAAGCUCUUGAUUGAAGUCCCGGUAAACGGCGGCCGUAACUAUAACGGUCCUAAGGUAGCGAAAUUCCUUGUCGGGUAAGUUCCGACCUGCACGAAUGGCGUAACGAUGGCCACACUGUCUCCUCCCGAGACUCAGCGAAGUUGAAGUGUUUGUGAUGAUGCAAUCUCCCCGCGGCUAGACGGAAAGACCCCAUGAACCUUUACUGUAGCUUUGCAUUGGACUUUGAACCGAUCUGUGUAGGAUAGGUGGGAGGCUUUGAAACCGGGACGCUAGUUUCGGUGGAGCCGACCUUGAAAUACCACCCUGGUUUGUUUGAGGUUCUAACCUUGGCCCGUGAAUCCGGGUCGGGGACAGUGCAUGGUAGGCAGUUUGACUGGGGCGGUCUCCUCCCAAAGUGUAACGGAGGAGUUCGAAGGUACGCUUGGUACGGUCGGACAUCGUACCUAAAGUGCAAUGGCAAAAGCGUGCUUAACUGCGAGACCGACAAGUCGAGCAGGUGCGAAAACAGGACAUAGUGAUCCGGUGGUUCUGUAUGGAAGGGCCAUCGCUCAACGGAUAAAAGGUACUCUGGGGAUAACAGGCUGAUACCGCCCAAGAGUUCAUAUCGACGGCGGUGUUUGGCACCUCGAUGUCGGCUCAUCUCAUCCUGGGGCUGUAGCCGGUCCCAAGGGUAUGGCUGUUCGCCAUUUAAAGAGGUACGUGAGCUGGGUUUAAAACGUCGUGAGACAGUUUGGUCCCUAUCUGCCGUGGGCGUUGGAAUCUUGACGGGGGCUGCUCCUAGUACGAGAGGACCGGAGUGGACGUACCGCUGGUGUACCUGUUGUCUCGCCAGAGGCAUCGCAGGGUAGCUAUGUACGGAAGAGAUAACCGCUGAAAGCAUCUAAGCGGGAAACUCGCCUGAAGAUGAGGAUUCCCUGGAGACUUGAUCUCCCUGAAGGGUCGUUCGAGACCAGGACGUUGAUAGGCUGG
rnacentral:rRNA from 1 species